UCCCCGGUCGACUGGGACCGUAGGGUGGGGCCGUAGAGGAAGAGGUCGUGCAGCUCGGAGCUUGCACUGGCGUACGGAGCGGGGGCCGGUGGCUUCGGCGCGCAUACAUUGGCCGGGUCAAGUCUCCGUUGCCGCUUUGAUGAUUUGAUUCAGAUUCUGAGAUUUUCCUUGAUUACCGCUGGGUCUUUCUUAGUUCUGGUGUUUGGCCAAGUCAUUGGGGAUUGAUAUUGCAAAUCGAACAGAAGAACCAAGAAGGAUGAACUGUCUAGGGGCGUUUGAAGCUGCACGCUCCAUUGACUGAAAAUUGCUGUUUGACAUCUUCUCAAAUUCAAAGCAAUUGGCAUGUCAAAUUACUUCUUAACCAGGUUUGGUUCUAUUCACAUAAUGUCCCUUAUAUUCGUGUUAUGACUUUCGUCGGAUACCUUGGUUUCCUUAUAGUAGUAGCAUCCAUAGAAACAAAUUAAUUCUCACAUGUCGAUUUCAAUAUUGCACCAGAAUAUAGGUUUAGUUUUUAAUUCAUGUGUUUUCAGUUUUUUUAAUUUUUCUACAUAUGUACAACUUAUGAUGUCAGAGCGCAUUUGUAUUGUACAUGCUUACCUAAGGUCAUAGUAGAUUUCUGUUCUCACAUGCCAGUAAUUGCACAUCAUAUGAUGUUGUGGACUACAUGAUCUAUGUGCGCCCUCCCAUGGAGUUGUGAUAGGAGCAUGGCUUGGUGCUUGGCCUAUGCCCCUUGACUUGGGAGAGACCUUGGCAACUAAAGAUACUGAUCGUUAUUCUCAUGCAUUAUGUUGUGAACUAUGUAUGCAAAGGGCAAUUAGUGUGAAAGGAAAAGGUCAUAUGGAUAUGUUUAUGCAUGUUCCGUAGAUGCUAUACAUUGUCAACUUAAAAACUAGGUUGUGCACUAUUCAGAUCUGCGACACAUGGAUUAGGCUUCCUUUUGUGAGUCUUAUAGUUGACAAUUGUGUCCGUGUCCUUGUAUCUCCGACAGUUGGAUAGCAGCUAUGGUCGAGGUUGUGUUCUACUCAUCAGCGGCAGCGUCUGUACUUUUAAAGUGUAUAGACUGCUAUUUUACACGGUAAUGCUUUUGUGAUGUGGAUACCCUCAAGUUGAGUUGGAGGCAUAUGCUCAACGCUUUUGGUCAUCUAAUGGAAAUACACAACAAAGAAGAGCAAUUGUUCCAAAGUGAAGAUUAUGAGAGCUGUUACCGCCAGUUGGGAGCUCGCCCCAAGAGUACUUCAAAUCCUCCGCAACUGAGACGCUGCAGGUUCUGCUACACUGAGAUGUCUUCUCCCUCCCAGCUGGCAAGAACUAGCAAGUGCUGAAUGAGAUAGCAGAAAUACUCCAGAAUUAACACACUCAUAUUAUUCAAUAUCAGCACGAGAGUUCAUGUUGUGUACAGGAAUUCAGGUUCCCUUUUGCAUCCAGGUACUAACAUUAUUUGACAGCAGGAAUUUUUGGCUGUAUAGUGCGCAACCAUAUUGGCAAUAAUGAAAGUCUACUUUGUUCCUCAAUUUGGUAUAGCAAGGGAAGAAUACGUGAUCUAUUAUUUGUUCUUUGCACAGUUGCAAGCUAACUUUGGGCUCCAUAAUAGGUCACAAUGAGGAUACAAUGUUGAAGAAAUUCAUGGAGUUUUUCUUAUUGCAAUAGAAUACAAUAUCAUCUCGCUACGGUCGAAGGCCACCCAAGAACUGCCUGUUCUUUUUUUGGACUAUUUUGCCCUCUCACAAAAUCCCUUUGCACUACCAUGUCAUGGUACCGGUUGUUAUACCCUGUCUCGCUACGGUCGCAGGCCACCCAAGAACCGCCCGUCCUACUCGACACGCGCGCGAGAAGAGGCACCGGAGGGCCCAUGCCACUCGAGAACCGCCGGUUCCUGUUCGCCAUGCGCGCGAGAAGGCCAUCCGGGAACGAUGAAGAGCGGGAGCAGGCGGCGUCCUAGAAUGAUGGCAUCGACGGGUGGCUGGAAGGAGGAGAGGCGCGACGAGGGGAUCGAAGAGGGAUGAGAUGGAGGCGGCAUUUGCCGCCCGUUCCUGCUCGCCACGCGUGCGAGAAGAGGCAUCGGAGGGUCGUGGACCUCCGGGAACUAUGAACGGAGAGAGCAUGCGGGAUGACAUCGAUAUUGCUGGGAGCUUGAUUUGUGAUGCGCGUCGAGGGCGUUGUGUAGUUGUCUGAUGAUUGUGAGCGCCCACAACGACGGCGGUGGCCGCAGGUUGCUCUCCUCAUGGCGAUGCAAGAAAGGAAGAGCUGGGAGAGAGAAAUUAGCUGAAGGUCAACAAUGUCUCUCGAUCUGGCAGCCACUA